rnacentral:rRNA from 1 species
UACAUGUGGGGCAAGCGUUGUUCGGAAUUACUGGGCAUAAAGGGUGCGUAGGCGGCCUGAUGAGUCAGUGGUGAAAUCCGGUGGCCCAACCAUCGAACUGCCAUUGAUACUGUCGGGCUUGAGUGCGUGAGGGGUGACCGGAACGAGUGGUGUAGCGGUGAAAUGCGUAGAUAUCACUCGGAAGGCCAACGGCGAAGGCAGGUCACUGGUACGCAACUGACGCUGAGGCACGAAAGCGUGGGGAG